GGGCUCAUUUCAGUAGCACAGACUGCAAAAUUGGAGUGAUACAAAAAUUUGCAUGGCCCUUGUGCAAAGAUGAAAUGCAAAUUUGUGGACUAUUCCAUAUUUUC
ensembl:snRNA Gm22321 U6 spliceosomal RNA